UUGGAUAACGUCUGGGUAAACAAACUUUUAUGAUGACUGCUCCACUCUAGUCAAGCCUUUUGGAUUUGUUGUAGCAGUUGUUGCCAGGACCUGAGCCCUAGGACCAUGCCUCAGGACUACAGGAUGACUCGUUGCUGUCCCCAGUCCACCUGGCCGUGCUGCUGCUCCAGUUUCAACUGUUGUGCCUGCGGCUAUGGAACCCUGACCUGUUCACUGGACGUACUACCUGUCCGAGACCUGCUGUUUUCAACUCUCUAGAGACAGCAGGAGCAGUAGAGAUACUCUUAAUGAUCGGCUAUGAAAAGCCAACUGACAUUUACUUUUGAGGUGCUGACUUGUUGCACCCUCGACAACCGCUGUGAUUAUUAUUAUUUGACCAUGCUGGAAAUUUAUGAACAUUUGAACAUCUUGGCCAUGUUCUGUUAUAAUCUCCACCCGGCACAGCCAGAAGAGGACUGGCCACCCCUCAUAGCCUGGUUCCUCUCUAGGUUUCUUCCUAGGUUUUAGCCUUUCUAGGGUGUUUUUCCUAGCCAUCGUGCUUCUACACCUGCAUUGCUUGCUGUUUGGGCUUUUAGGCUGGGUUUCUGUACAGCACUUUGAGAUAUCAGCUGAUGUAAGAAGGGCUAUAUAAAUACAUUUGAUUUGGGCUAAAUUCAGUCUGGUCCUUAUACAAUCAUGGCCACUUAACCAUUCCCAGCUUCCUAUUGGCUCAUUCAUCCCCCUCAUCUCCCCCGUAACUAUUGUCCUCGGUCAACUUAAAUACCCUCACCACCUGGGGGUGGCCCCUCAGAACGUCCAGGAUCCAGUUGCAGAGGGAGGUGUUCAGUCUCAGUGGCCUUAGCAUAGUGAUGAACUUGGAGGGCACUAUGGUGUUGCAGAGGAUACCUCCCAUGUGCCAGUGAUCGAUCUAGACGUACUCCCAGAGAGCGACCCAGGUGAUCAUGUGUGUCCUCCAGAUUACUUAAUCCAAUUGCUCUUAAUGGUUAAUCACAGUAGGGAUGACCAGGGAUGUUCUCUUGAUAAAUAUGUGAAUUUGACUAUCUUCCUGUCCUGCUAAGCAUUGAAAUGUAAUGACUACUUUUGGGUGUCAGGGAAAAUGGAUAGAGUGAAAUGUACAUGAUUUUAUUUAGGAAUGUAGUGAAGUAAAAGUAAAAGCAGUCAAAAAUAUAAAUAGUAAAUUACAGAUACCCCAAAACCUACUUAAAUAAAAAAUACUUUCAAGUACUACUUAAAAGUAGUUUACACCAUGGGAUAACUCCAUCAUGCGAGCCUAUGUGUCUCCCAGUCUGAGGACCACGAACCUUUAAGGGAAAGACGUCAGUGUCCCGAUCGUCUUGCUGUGAGAGAUUGGACCAAGGCGCAGCGUGUGCAAAAUACAUCUUCUUUUAUUUAGAAGAGAGAGGGAAAAAACACGAAACGAAUACUAUACACAAACUAACAAAAUAACAAACUGACAACCGUGAAGCUAAUAUGACAAAUAGUGCUGACACAAACACUACACAUAGACAAUUACCCACAAACAGCUAAAGCCUAUGGCUGCCUUAAAUAUGGCUCCCAAUCAGAGACAACAAUAACCAGCUGUCUCUGAUUGAGAACCUAUUCAGGCAACCAUAGACUUUCCUAGACACCUACACUGAACACUAACCCAUCUACUCUACUUAACCCCCUAAACCAUACAACCACCCUAGACAAUACAAAAACACAUACCUUCCCCAUGUCACACCCUGACCUAACUAAAAUAAUAAAUGAAACAAAGAACACUAAGGCCAGGGCGUGACAGUCAGCCUCAUCUUACUCCUGCUACCCUCCCCCGAGCGUACCGGAUGGUUAUGGCCAAACUAUAUUUUGAGCAAUUAAAAAAUAUAUAUAUAUAUACAUGUAUAUUCGGGAAAGAAGCACAUUGCUCUUGCUUGCUGGAUAUAAAAUAAGCUACAGUAAAAAUGCAAUAUAUACGGGAAUCCUCUGUUCUCCCCACACCCAAUGUUUAUGUUUACAAUGAAAUGCAUUACAUCAGAAUGCCCAAUGCUAGAAUGUUUACAAUCAAAUUUAUGAAUUAAGUUAGAACAUUUUCCUAUCAGUCUAAUUUGCAUAAACAUUGUGAUUGGAGGAUAGCUGUGAGGGUUUUCAAUCAGGAUCAAAUCCUCUGAUCUCCUCAAGCUCAUUAAUGAUAUAAUGUUCAUAUUCAUAUUCAUAGGGUUCUACAUGGAACCCUAAACAGUUCUACCUGGAACCAAAAAGGGUUAUUCUAUGGGGACAGCCGAAGAACCAUUUUUAAGUUCUAGAUGGCAACUUUUUGUCUAAAAGUGUAUGGUUGCAUAGGAGUGGACUCAAACUAAGGUGAACCCAAGAGCAGCUUGUCGAACGGCCUCGUCAACACUCCAUCGCCAGCAAUCAUGGAUUUGUAUCGUACAAUAAUCAGAGACAACAUGUCUGUAAGCUUAGUCAUUCAUAUUUGACAUUAUAAAAUUGGCUUACAUGCAUAAUUGUAGCCUAUUCACAAGUAGUGCUUUGCGAUAUCACGGUUAUUUUGUCAAUUGAUUAUUCAGUGAUUUUAAAAAACAAUGCAAACUGGCUCUAGCCAGAAUAGGAAGAGGAGUGGGACCCCUCACAAGUCCUCAACUGGCAGCUUCAUUAAAUAGUACCCACAAAACACUAGUCUCAACGUCAACAGUGAAGAGGCGACUCAGGGAUGCUGGCCUUCUUGUUUUCUUUAUUUUUUGGUUAGGUCAGGGUGUGACAAGGGUGGUUUGUUUAGUUUUUGUAUUUAUCUAGGGGUUUUGUCUAUCUAUGGGGAUUUGGUAUGGUCUAGGGGAUUGUAGGUUUAUGGUGGCCUGAAUUGGUUCCCAAUCAUAGACAGCUGUUUCUCGUUGUCUCUGAUUGGGGAGCCUAUUUAGGUUGCCAUUUUCCAUGUUGGUUUUGUGGGUAGUUGUUUUCUGUUUUGUGUGAGUACCUGACAGAACUGUUGUGUUUUUGUUCCACUUUUUGCUUUCAGUGUUCUGGUUAUAAUAAACAUCAUGAACACGUACCACACUG